GAUGAACGCUGGCGGCGUGCUUAACACAUGCAAGUCGAACGAGAAGUGGAGACGGACACCUUCGGGCGGAAGACUUUACUUCGAGUGGCGGACGGGUGAGUAACGCGUGGGUAACCUGCCUCAUACAGGGGGAUAACAGUUGGAAACGACUGUUAAUACCGCAUAAGACCACAGCACCGCAUGGUGCGGGGGUAAAAACUCCGGUGGUAUGAGAUGGACCCGCGUUCGAUUAGCCAGUUGGCGGGGUAACGGCCCACCAAAGCGACGAUCGAUAGCCGAUCUGAGAGGAUGACCGGCCACAUUGGGGCUGAGACACGGCCCAAACUCCUACGGGAGGCAGCAGUGGGGAAUAUUGCACAAUGGGGGAAACCCUGAUGCAGCGACGCCGCGUGAGUGAAGAAGUAUUUCGGUAUGUAAAGCUCUAUCAGCAGGGAAGAAAAUGACAGUACCUGAGUAAGAAGCCCCGGCUAACUACGUG
rnacentral:rRNA from 1 species